CACGUAGGCGGAUGUGUCAGUCAGGGGUGAAAUCCCGGAGCUCAACUUCGGAACUGCCUUUGAUACAGCACGUCUUGAGUCCGAUAGAGGUGGGUGGAAUUCCUAGUGUAGAGGUGAAAUUCGUAGAUAUUAGGAAGAACACCGGUGGCGAAGGCGGCCCACUGGAUCGGUACCGACGCUGAGGUGCGAAAGCGUGGGGGGAAC
rnacentral:rRNA from 1 species